UCCAUCACUGCAACUUUCAUCUCUCUCUCUUGUUCAAAUCUCCAAUCUCCAAUCUAAAGACAAAACAAAGACCACCACCAUUAAUGGCUUUCUUCACCGAUACGAACAAGACAGGAACACAAACACAAACCCAGCCUCCUCCUCCUCCGUCUCCUUCCGUCUCUUUUCGUUUCUUCUCAGUAAUCCCUAAAAUUUUCAAUUAAUCCCUCGAUUUCUCCUCUUAAUUUGAAUCCGAAGCAACACAAAAUCCAUAACAAAGUCUGGAAAAUUUGCAUCUUUAUUUAUCGAUUCCGUUACAUCGGCUAAUUGGAGGAAAUCAGAGAAUGGAGGAGGAAAAGCUAGAAAUCGUUGGACCGUUGGAGAAGCCGUUGAUGGGAAACAUCGUACCAGAGGAGAUCAACGGCUUGGAUUCGCUUUCUCUCUCUCCCCUGGCUCUCAUAGCUCUCUCUCUUUCUCUGAUUUCAUUUCACCGCCGAGGUCUCGCCGUGUUACCAGCGAAUUUAUUUGGCCGGAUUUGAAGAAAACUUUGAAAGCCAUUUGUUUUCACUUCGACUCUGAAACUCGUCGUCUCCUCCGCUGUUACCGCCGCUGAAGGUUCAGCUUUGGCAAGUAAUCUGUAAAGAAGAAGAGGAAGAAUCAGACCGUAGGAUUAGGCAACGACAUUGGGGCAUCUUAAUCAUUCGAUCUUAUUCACAUUAAUAUUAAUUGCUAACCAAACUUUACACAUCUACACAAAUAUGGACCGUAUAAUCAGAAUUGGAGUUCUCCAUAAUUUUUUUAAAUUUCUUUGUCGUAGACCUUUGCUUACGGAGAAUUAUCCCUUCCU